rnacentral:rRNA from 1 species
UACGAAGGGGGCAAGCGUUGUUCGGAAUUACUGGGCGUAAAGGGCGUGUAGGCGGAUCGACCAGUCAGGGGUGAAAUCCCGGGGCUCAACCUCGGAACUGCCUUUGAUACUGUCGAUCUAGAGUCUGUGAGAGGGUGGCGGAAUACCCAGUGUAGAGGUGAAAUUCGUAGAUAUUGGGAAGAAUACCAGUGGCGAAGGCGGCUUACUGGUCCGAUACUGACGCUGAGGUGCGAAAGCGUGGGGAGCAAACAGGAUUAGAUACCCGUGUAGUCC